rnacentral:rRNA from 1 species
AGGAUGCAAGCGUUAUCCGGAAUUAUUGGGCGUAAAGCGUCCGUAGGUGGCUUCGUAAGUCUUUUGUCAAAUCGUGCAGCUUAACUGCAUACGGGCGGAGGAAACUACGAAGCUAGAGUGCGAUAGGGGUCACAGGAAUUCCCAGUGUAGCGGUGAAAUGCGUAGAUAUUGGGAAGAACACCAGCGGCGAAAGCGUGUGACUGGGUCUGCACUGACACUGAGGGACGAAAGCUAGGGGAGCGAAAGGGAUUAGAUACCCCUGUAGUCCUAGCCGUAAACGAUGACAACUAGGUGUGGUUCGUAUCGACCCGAGCCGUGCCGUAGCCAACGCGUUAAGUUGUCCGCCUGGGGAGUACGCACGCAAGUGUGAAACUCAAAGGAAUUGACGGGGACCCGCAC